CGGCAACAGCUCAAAUUUGAAAUCUGGCUUCGGCCCGAGUUGUAAUUUGUAGAGGAUGCUUUUGGCGCGGCCCCUUCUGAGUUCCCUGGAACGGGACGUCACAGAGGGUGAGAAUCCCGUACGUGCCCGGUGGCCGCGCCCGUGUGAAGCUCUUUCGAC
rnacentral:rRNA from 1 species